AGAAAUUGCAUUUGGUUGGAUGAACACCCAAAUGAGUGCGAGCCUUUGUUUUAGCUGUUUGAGGCAGAGUGGUUGAAGAUGGAAGAUUGGAAGCUUGGAAGAUUCAUGUAAGAUUCAAGAGGGAUUUCCGUGGUUCUUUUUGUUUUCGGCUGGGUUAUCUGGCUGCUUCUGGCCCCAGUUCGCCUCCGUUCUCCUGCGCCCUGUUCUGCCCCCAGCCUGGACUUGUUCAGAUUUCAUCGGAGAGGCUUGGCCCUUCUGCAAAGGAACUUU